rnacentral:rRNA from 1 species
AAGUCGUACGCUUCUUUUUCCACCGGAGCUUGCUCCACCGGAAAAAGAAGAGUGGCGAACGGGUGAGUAACACGUGGGUAACCUGCCCAUCAGAAGGGGAUAACACUUGGAAACAGGUGCUAAUACCGUAUAACAAUCGAAACCGCAUGGUUUUGAUUUGAAAGGCGCUUUCGGGUGUCGCUGAUGGAUGGACCCGCGGUGCAUUAGCUAGUUGGUGAGGUAACGGCUCACCAAGGCCACGAUGCAUAGCCGACCUGAGAGGGUGAUCGGCCACAUUGGGACUGAGACACGGCCCAAACUCCUACGGGAGGCAGCAGUAGGGAAUCUUCGGCAAUGGACGAAAGUCUGACCGAGCAACGCCGCGUGAGUGAAGAAGGUUUUCGGAUCGUAAAACUCUGUUGUUAGAGAAGAACAAGGAUGAGAGUAACUGUUCAUCCCUUGACGGUAUCUAACCAGAAAGCCACGGCUAACUACGUGCCAGCAGCCGCGGUAAUACGUAGGUGGCAAGCGUUGUCCGGAUUUAUUGGGCGUAAAGCGAGCGCAGGCGGUUUCUUAAGUCUGAUGUGAAAGCCCCCGGCUCAACCGGGGAGGGUCAUUGGAAACUGGGAGACUUGAGUGCAGAAGAGGAGAGUGGAAUUCCAUGUGUAGCGGUGAAAUGCGUAGAUAUAUGGAGGAACACCAGUGGCGAAGGCGGCUCUCUGGUCUGUAACUGACGCUGAGGCUCGAAAGCGUGGGGAGCAAACAGGAUUAGAUACCCUGGUAGUCCACGCCGUAAACGAUGAGUGCUAAGUGUUGGGAGGGUUUCCGCCCUUCAGUGCUGCAGCUAACGCAUUAAGCACUCCGCCUGGGGAGUACGACCGCAAGGUUGAAACUCAAAGGAAUUGACGGGGGCCCGCACAAGCGGUGGAGCAUGUGGUUUAAUUCGAAGC